AUCGAUGUUGUCUAUCUGGUUUUAGUGUCGGCCACAAAACUUAAUUUCCUUUAUAUUAAGUCUUAUAAAUAAUUAAAAUACGAUGUAAUACGUUAAUUUUUCAACAACGGUGGUACAUUUAAGAUACCAACAUUUUUAUUCGUUAUUUUACAAUCGAUAAAUAUUGUAGUGUUGUAAAAUGUUAAAACUAUUUAAUGAACAAAUAUUAAUAUAAAAAACUCAUUCCGUGCAUGCGCGCGGGUUAUCAUCUAAUCUAAACUAUACUAAAAGCACAAUAUAAAGCCCUAUGAAGCCCUCCACGUCGGAUAGAAAAAACGACCAAUAGUAAUGCAGCAAACAGCCACGUCAUCUGUCAUCUUCGAUUUAUUUUGUUUUGGGCUUAGUUUGUUUUCGGCCUGUUUUUCUGCAUCUUAUAGAUGAGUAUUGUUUGCGUUUUGUUACGUUUUGUUUCGACUGAAUAUGGGCUUUCGCAUUUACAUUAUAUUAUAAGCCCAAGAAACUCAUCCGUAAAAGAAGAUGACGUCUCCUCUUCACUUUGUUUUUACCUUUCACUCUAGCAACCCUAGCCAUACUGAUUCCCUCCCCACUCGAUUCAGCUGAGAAACGGCAGUCGUAAUGGCACUCAAGCCUCAAUCUCCACUACUUCAUCUUCAAUGCUUCUUUUCUUCAUCUUCAAGCUCUCAGCAUGGCGUAUAUAUAUAGAGGGUUUGGCAGUCUUAGCCCCAUCUAUUUGGUCUGCCUUUAGUCGUAGAACCCUAAAUCUCUCUCACCAGAAUCCUAUAAGCACCAACUUCGGUUCUCAGAAGGUCGCAAUGUCAAGAAAGGUGGAGAGUUGAUGGAUGUCGAUCUGGUCGUGCUAAUGGAAAGAUCUCUGAUAAGUCAUUCAGGACUCGAGGGGUUUCUGAUGGUUGCUAUGCCGCUGUAGUUAUGAUACUUCGUCUCUUGCAUCUGAGAAUGUCUCACGGGUUAUUCUUUUGUUCAUGGUCAACUCUGAUCCAGGGACCUUAUCCUGAUGGAGUUUUUCUGCUUCUGCAAUUACGACCACCUCAUAUUGAUGGCCAGUCAGUUCUGAAUUCUUUGACAGUAUCAGAACUUAAUUCAUGUGUUCUCAAAUUCCCAUCCGCAGUAAAAUUCUAAACAUGGAAUUGCACAUCCAAUUUAUACAUCUCAAGGGUCACAAAACCUGAGGGUUUGUGUUAGGAAAGAGUGUGCUAAAAGAAGCUGUUGGAUUGGAAAAGGAUGACAAGGGAACAAAGGGAGAUAGAAUCAAUGAAGAGAGCCAAUUCAAUGGAAUAGUUUUGUGGUGACAAAGCCAGGACAGGCUGCUCUCUUGACCAAAUUGUGAUACACAACAAAUUUGUUUCGUGCAGACUAUUACGUCAGAUGAUCAGAGAAACAACAGCUCACAUGUGAAAACUGAUACAGAGAGAAAUAUCUCACCUAUGCAUUUUUGGAGGCUCCUUUUGCACAUACAUCUCAACCUUGGCGACUGGUUUCAUUCCGCAGCUCCUGCAAAUAUAUUUGUUGUAUGGAGUAUAUUACUAUCAAUCUUCUUCCCAAUGUCUUUAUGUUUGAGACUGUUAAACCCCGUUUUAGUAAUCUGUGAUUCUAUUUCAUCUCUCGAGAUUACUUUGUUUUAUGAAUGCUUUUCCAUAUUUAGAGUGAGAGAGAUAAGCAAAGUUGUGAAAUGUUAUUUAGAUGACAUGUAUUUAAAUGAUUAUUAAACUUAUGUAUAAUUUUAUUUUACAAUACACUGAAAUAGUUUUAGUGUCA